UCAGAUUCAUGAAGUUUUACUCAACUUCCAGGGCAUACCAAGUUGUGCUCAACAAGUCGGCGCCCGCGAGUGUGGCUAUUACGUUAUGAAGUUCAUGCAUGAAAUAGUCACGUUACACCAUAACUCUGAUGAGCGGUUAGAUAAUGCUUACACUCCAAGAAAUGCGCCUUAUACCGAUGAGGAAAUAGAUGUGGUUCGUGAGCAAUGGGCUAAGUUUUUUACAACCGAGUAUUUAUUUACUUAGGUUGUUUAGACACAAAGAUGGAAGCGUUUAUAUCUUCAUGGAUUUGGUAAAGUUCUUUAAUUUUUCCAUAAUUACAAGUCUGCUGGAUUUGCUAAUUU